rnacentral:misc_RNA from 1 species
GCCCCUGGCUUGGUCAUGGAGGAUGAGUACACCUUCCAAGGGUUUUCACCUCUGAAAUUGAAUGGCGGAUUACCGUGAGCUGCCUUGAGCGUCGUAUGUGCCUGACACUCUCGCCUUGGUGGCCGGUGAAGUCCUGCCCACCAACCCCCACAACAUCUUGGGUUGACUUUGGAUCAGGUAGGGAUACCCGCUGAACUUAA